CCUUGCCCCAGCAACGAAGCAAUGCAGCUUCCAAUGUGCACAAGAGGCCCCUCUUUCCCGAGAUCUAGCCCGGCAGAGACAGCUCCGAUGCUUCCAAUAAUCUACAAUUCAAGGAAUUCCCGGGCCAGCCGCUGUAGGUGCAAAUAAAACACAGAGAAGUGCAGCCACCAAGCCAGAAGCUUGUAUCCAGCUAUAUUCUCAACAGCAAGAUUGAUCAAAGUUGCUAUCCCACCUGUGAGAAUCCCAACCAAGAAUGCCAGCAGCCAUUUCAUCAGUAUGUAUUGCAACACUUGAACUUUUGAUCUGCUUCUCCAAUCUUGCUUGAACAGAUCAUUCUCAUUGAUCCUGAUACCAAAAGCCCACAACACAAAUUCAAGGAAAAUUCAAAACUUGUGAAGUUGAAUUUCUGAAAUUCUCAAGAAAUCAAAGUGGUAUUUUUUUCUUACUCAUAAUCCAAGCUCUCAAUAUGAGAAACCUUGGUUCCAACAAUGGCGAGGGGGCUUGAGGAGAGGGUUCUGUUUCUCUUGAGGAGAGGGUGGUGAAGAUCAUUGCUUUCUGGGUCAUUGAAAUCAUCAUAUUCUUGUUGAUAUCUUUCUGCUUCUGAUUCUACAAACCUGUUGACCUCCUCCAUCAGCUCAGUGGCCGAAGAGAGAGAGAUGUUGGGAAUAGAAAGUGCACUAUUUCUUUUCCUCUGAUAUUGGAAUAUAUAUAUACAAAAAAAAAUAAUGGUGGUAUUGGGCAGUUAGUUAUAUUGUCUUCUUGCAAAGGAUGAAUGUGUUUUUGUGAUUAAUUCUGUUGUCGGAAAGCUGUCCCAUAAAUUUCUCCAAAAGGCUUUUACAUUGGAUGAAUUUGUUGAUUUAAAAAAUCUUAACUGCAA